rnacentral:rRNA from 1 species
GAUGAACGCUGGCGGCGUGCUUAACACAUGCAAGUCGAACGAAGAUGCCGGAGUGCUUGCACUUUGGCAGACUGAGUGGCGGACGGGUGAGUAACGCGUGGGUAACCUGCCUUAUACAGGGGGAUAACAGUUGGAAACGACUGCUAAUACCGCAUAAGCGCACGGUAUCGCAUGAUACAGUGUGAAAAACUCCGGUGGUAUAAGAUGGACCCGCGUCUGAUUAGCUUGUUGGUGAGGUAACGGCCCACCAAGGCGACGAUCAGUAGCCGGCCUGAGAGGGUGAACGGCCACAUUGGGACUGAGACACGGCCCAAAACUCCUACGGGAGGCAGCAGUGGGGAAUAUUGGGCAAAUGGAGGAAAACUCUGACCCAGCAACGCCGCGUGGAGGAAGAAGGUUUUUCGGAUCGUAAAACUCCUGUCCUUGGAGACGAGUAGAAGACGGUAUCCAAGGAGGAAGCCCCGGCUAACUACGUG